rnacentral:rRNA from 1 species
UACGUAGGUGGCGAGCGUUGUCCGGAUUUAUUGGGCGUAAAGCGCGCGUAGGUGGCCAUGUAAGUCCGCUGUGAAAGUCAAAGGCUCAACCUUUGAAAGCCGGUGGAUACUGCAUGGCUAGAGUACGGAAGAGGCGAGUGGAAUUCCUGGUGUAGCGGUGGAAUGCGCAGAUAUCAGGAGGAACACCAAUAGCGAAGGCAGCUCGCUGGGACGUUACUGACACUGAGGCGCGAAAGCGUGGGGAGCGAACAGG